rnacentral:misc_RNA from 4 species
AACGCACAUUGCGCCUCCUUUCCGGGAGGCAUGCCUGUCUGAGCGUCGUUUAAACCAUAGCCCCCAAAAGGGUCUGUCUUGGGCAUCGCCUUUGGGCGUAGCCUCGAAGCGAUUGGUCUGAAGAGCGGAUGAAAUCCAUUAGGACGGACCGUUCUGCGACCUUAAACUUUGAAUUUGACCUCAGAUCAGGUAGGACUACCGCCUGAACUUAA